AUUGAACGCUGGCGGCAGGCCUAACACAUGCAAGUCGAGCGGAUGAAGGGAGCUUGCUCCUGGAUUCAGCGGCGGACGGGUGAGUAAUGCCUAGGAAUCUGCCUGGUAGUGGGGGAUAACGUCCGGAAACGGGCGCUAAUACCGCAUACGUCCUGAGGGAGAAAGUGGGGGAUCUUCGGACCUCACGCUAUCAGAUGAGCCUAGGUCGGAUUAGCUAGUUGGUGGGGUAAAGGCCUACCAAGGCGACGAUCCGUAACUGGUCUGAGAGGAUGAUCAGUCAAACUGGAAAUGAGACAAGGUCCCGACUCCUAAGGGAGGCAGCAGUGGGGAAUAUUUGACCAUGGGCGAAAGCCUGAUCCAGCCAUGCCGCGUGUGUGAAGAAGGUCUUCGGAUUGUAAAGCACUUUAAGUUGGGAGGAAGGGCAGUAAGUUAAUACCUUGCUGUUUUGACGUUACCAACAGAAUAAGCACCGGCUAACUUCGUG
rnacentral:rRNA from 1 species